rnacentral:rRNA from 1 species
GAUGAACGCUGGCGGCGUGCCUAAUACAUGCAAGUCGAGCGAACGGACGAGAAGCUUGCUUCUCUGAUGUUAGCGGCGGACGGGUGAGUAACACGUGGAUAACCUACCUAUAAGACUGGGAUAACUUCGGGAAACCGGAGCUAAUACCGGAUAAUAUUUUGAACCGAAUGGUUCAAAAGUGAAAGACGGUCUUGCUGUCACUUAUAGAUGGAUCCGCGCUGCAUUAGCUAGUUGGUAAGGUAACGGCUUACCAAGGCAACGAUGCAUAGCCGACCUGAGAGGGUGAUCGGCCACACUGGAACUGAGACACGGUCCAGACUCCUACGGGAGGCAGCAGUAGGGAAUCUUCCGCAAUGGGCGAAAGCCUGACGGAGCAACGCCGCGUGAGUGAUGAAGGUCUUCGGAUCGUAAAACUCUGUUAUUAGGGAAGAACAUAUGUGUAAGUAACUGUGCACAUCUUGACGGUACCUAAUCAGAAAGCCACGGCUAACUACGUG